CAUCAGAAGAAGAAUUUUCCAACGAAUCCCAAAUAUUCAGUUUGAACGUGUCAAUCGCUUCGAACGGUUUUUCGAACAAACCAGCCAGAAAUAUUUUUUUGUGAAAAAAUCACCCACCCAAAAACAAAAUCAAAAUGAGUGAGGCCCACAACUUGAUGACCACCUUCCUCAUCCUUGCUUUCUUGUUGACCAUCAUGUACGUCCUCUACGAAGUCGUUUUCUAAAUUCAAUCCCAAGACCCAACAUGAAUCCUGAUUACAUCGCAUAAUUGUCAUUGGCGUCGUCGAGUUGUGUUGUUAUGAUUAAUGGCAUUUACGUCGUCGUCGCCGUUGCUAAUCAUCGCCCCCUCAUCACCAUGAAGACCCCCAUCCAUCCAUCAUUCUCGUUUGUACUUAAAAACCGUUGCCUUUUCUAUUAAGAAGAAAAUCGAAAUUCCAAAAUUAAGAUGCAGUACUUUAAGCAGCUAGUAUCUAAAAGGAUAAAUUUAUAUUAUUUUUCGUCAUAGUUCAAUAAGGAUAACAAAAGUUGACGUCAUGUAACCGCAUAUCAUCUACAGCAGCAGCUCUUUGGCGGUCUCUUUCCUUUUUUUUUUGGGUGCCACCCACAAAGGAUUAUGUCAACUUUUGUAUUUUCUUUUUUUUUUUCAAUUUUUUAUUAUUAAAAAUAAUAAUUAUUGUUUAUAAGUAACUUAACAUUUUUACUGUAGCUUUUGACUUUUGUUAAAGUCGCACUUCUUUUUGUUUCUAAUUUACUAGUCACUAGUAUUAACAUUUAUAUAUUUUACAUUUAUGUAUAUUUUUUAUGAAAAACCCAAAAGAACAAGACCAUCUUUUCAACAAUCGGAAACCAGGAACUGUAAUUUUGUUUUAGCAUCAAUUUCGUUGAAAAGUGUUCGAAGUGAAAAUGUCAUCUCCUCACCCUGGAAAGAAUAAAAUUUUCUGAAAAACAAAUGGUAUCUGUG
rnacentral:sRNA from 1 species